CUGACCAAGCCCACUUGUAUUCACUAACUUGGUUUGUUUCUAGUUGAUUUUAGGCGAGAUGUUACCACAACCAUUGAUAUAUUACUGAUCCAAUGGUUCAUAUUUAACCCACUCUUUUUCAUAGAUUUCUUUUUUUUUUCUUCAAAUAUUUAUCAGAUCUUUUCUGCAGUGAAAACCUUCGGCCCUCUUGCGUCAAAAACCUUCUUCUACCUCUCUCCUCUCUCAUAUCUUACAUUCUAGAUAUCAAAUUGAGAAAGUUUUAACCUGUGUGUGAGAGAGCUUAAUUGCAGAGAAUAAUUUCGAGCUUGCAUAAAUCUAAAAUUGGAAAUAAAAUCGCUGCUAACCGGGGAAUCUCGUCGUCUCCAGUGAAAACCAUUCCCCAUGUGUUUCUAAAAGAUGCGAGGAGAAGAUGAAGGUGAGAAUAAUCUCGUCAGAUAGCUUCAGUGUCUUGGGUCGGUUCGCUCCCAGUUCAUUCCCGGUGCGAGUUGAGACGGCAAAGCUCAGAGAAGACAUAUGAUGGUGAAUUUGAGACCAAAUGAUUUGGUCAGGAACAAAAUACAUCUUCACUUACCAUCUUGGGAUUUGUUGGGCUCUCCCUCAUGUCCUGACUAAUCAUGGUAUCGUUUUUGAGCCAGAAGGAAACUGUGGUGAUGGCUCCUCUUCCUCUAGCAACUCCCACGAAAGGAAGAAUAUUGUGUCUAGCUGUUACCUCUGUAAGCUAAGAGAGAUACAUAAACUGGACAUUGGUGCUUUACUUGGGAUGAAUUUCUCUUCUCCUGCAGCUCAAGAAUAGUGGAUUUUACUGUUAAUUAUUGUACAUGUAUACUGCAGCACAACUUUAUCGUGUGAACAAUACAAUAAGGAUGUCGUCAGAUUUUAUAAUUUUCGGUUUCUGUAGAA